UGGAGAAUUUCCUCUGUCUGGGAAGUAGCCUGGAAGAAGGCUGAGAAGGAGAGUAGAGUAGAGUAGAGUAGAGAGGCUUCUUCUGGGUGAGCUGGAAACUUGACUGAGAUAGGACCUCCUGAUGGGGAAACUGAAGUACAAGAAGUGACUUGCCUGAAGUCAUACAGCAAAGCAGGGCCAGCGCUGGGAAUUGAACGCAGGUCUCCUGUAUCCUAGUCCAGGACCCUGCCCACUAGGGUCACACCGACUCACUCUCCUUCCUUCUCCUGAGAUCUGGGCAGAGGGUCUUCCAUAGGCAGAUGUGAGUCCCUCCGUGGGCCCGAGUUGGCCAGGGUCAGACAUUUGGCUGAACUAAUCCCUGUGAUGGACAGCAGGAGGCGCCACUGUGAUUGACCGUACCCCUUGCUCAUUGAUUUGGACAUACCUGGGGGGACCUGGGAGAGAGAGCACAGCAGGAGAGGGUGGCUGGAAAGAGAAGGUGAAGAAGCAGUGGAUGGAUUGCAUCAAAGAUGGUAAGAUAGUGGACCUUAUUGCUGCCUCGGACAGGUGAAGAUGGCAGGUGCAUGCAUGCCAACCUAACCCCAGUUGAUGAGACAUUAUGCAUCUUUUAUGGCUAUUACAACAGGCCAGAUUUUCAGUAGUUUGGUCUGUUUUAUGCAGAUUGAAAUUAUGUAGUGUAUUGUGGUAGUGUCUCUUUAAAAUGAGUCAUGCAUAAUUAUCA